UAGACAUUUAUAAAAAUUUGCAUGUUGUGAAAGACAUUUAGAGGAUGUAUUAAGGAGCUCCAAAACAAUAUGAUAUCGUAAGCCACCUUUCCAUAUUAGAUUCACUACUAGUUAGAACCCAAAAUUGGCCCUACCUAAUGGGCGUAUCAACUUGGCUCUUCUCCACCAUCAACAUCACCCCAGAACACUUCUACAGCCAACGCAGGGAAAUCCAUUUACCAUCUCACAUACAGGAAGUGGCCUAACAACUCUAUCUUUUGAUCUUGCGCCUCGCUGUUUAGCAAUCUCUGGAUGAUCCGGUUCCAUGUAGCAUCGAGCUCUGUACGCUGCCAAAUGAGCAUAGUAUGCUGGAGGUACUACACACGAAACAAAAACUUAUUUUUUGGUAACCAUACCUAAUAAUAGACAAUCCAUUGAUGCAUGUUAACUAGUGAAGUUAGUUGUACAAAAGUUUCAAUGUUUACUUUUCUAGUUUUGUUUAAACAAAUGUGCGAUUCGGAGUGUCUGAAACUUACAUUUCCCAUGCUUAUCAGUCGAUUGUGUUUUAUUAAUGUUUA